rnacentral:rRNA from 1 species
GACGAACGCUGGCGGCGUGCUUAACACAUGCAAGUCGAACGGAAAGGCCCUGCUUGCAGGGUACUCGAGUGGCGAACGGGUGAGUAACACGUGGGUGAUCUGCCCUGCACGUCGGGAUAAGCCUGGGAAACUGGGUCUAAUACCGGAUAGGAGCCAUUUUUAGUGUGAUGGUUGGAAAGUUUUUUCGGUGUAGGAUGAGCUCGCGGCCUAUCAGCUUGUUGGUGGGGUAAUGGCCUACCAAGGCGGCGACGAGUAGCCGGCCUGAGAGGGUGGACGGCAACAUUGGGACUGAGAUACGGCCCAGACUCCUACGGGAGGCAGCAGUGGGGAAUAUUGCACAAUGGGCGCAAGACUGAUGCAGCGACGCCGCGUGGGGGAUGACGGACUUCGGGUUGUAAACUCCUUUCGCUAGGGACGAAGCUUUUUGUGACGGUACCUAGAUAAGAAGCACCGGCUAACUACGUG